CAUCCACCUCUGCUAAAACCUUUUACAUGUGUCUUGUUUGUUAGAGAUAAUAUGCUUAAUUGAAUUAGAAAUUGAAAAAAUAAAAAUAAAAAUAAAAAUUAUAGUAAUUGGUAGAGCACUUAGUCUGUUUUAUAUUGAAAGCUCCCCUCAACCCACUUUCCUCUGGAAUAAAGAGAAGAUGGACAGAGAGAGAGAGAGUUUAAAGAUGUUUGCUUUGUGGGUUUCUACUACUGCAACUAGAGGAGACAUCCAAAGGGAUCGCAUUGAUCCUAAGCUCUUCUUCUCUCCCCGUAUUUUAAUCUUUUGGAUCAUGCUAUCCCUUUGGAUUCCUCCUUUGGUAGCUUCUUCAUGGCCUUUUCACGGCGGCUCAGUCCAUGCACCACCAACUCAUCUCCAUGCAUCCCAAGUUGAAAACUGCCGGACGCCGAAUAACCCAGUUUUGAAGUAUGUGGCCAGAAGCCAAUGGAAAUAUCGAUAGAUCAGUCAGUUCCCAGAAGAAGCUCUCUGAUUCUCCUUAUGCAUAUUAAUAUUUCUUUUUCAAAAUAAAAAUCAGUUAUUUUCAAACAGUUAGAAUAUAGGGUUUUUUUUUUUUUUUAAAUAUGAUUUGUCUCUUGUAAAUGGGAUUGAGAAUUUUUCUUUGAAUGAAUCAAGAAUCAUCAUGAACAAGAAAACCAAGUGGAAGCAAGCUAUUUGAUAAAACAGUGACCCCAUGUGUAGAGAAUAGCAAUAAUUUCUAUAAGCUUUGACAAGAACUUAAUUGCCCCAUUUCUGGAAACUUUUGAUCAUUACAUACUUCCAACAAAUUGAUUUCACCUUUACAAAAAGUAUCUUUUUUUUUUCUUUUUCUCUUCUUCUUUUCUUUAAAAAUGAUUUAAAACCCUAGAAUUAAUUGCAGAAAGAAUGAGAAUUUUUAUAUUUUUCUCGCUCAGUCUUGUGAUGUUACUUUCUGCAAUUGCCUAAUUAGCUAUGCCCUAAAAGCUAAGAAAGUUGGGUUAAAAAGUCCUUAAAAAGACUAGCAUGGCCAUGUUUUCAUGGCUAUGUGGCCCUUGGUAAGACUCCAAAUCACAUGGUUUGAGGACUUUAAUUAGAAUCCAAGGCAAUGGAAGAUGAUAUUAAAGGACUUUUUUUUUCCACUUUGGGCUUCAUAUUGAGUGUCCCAAAGGCAAAAGAAUCAUCUACAUGUGGUGAAAGGAAAAAAGAAAAGAAAAGGAGUCCUCUAAACCUUGCCCUAAUUUUCAACUACAGGCUUCUUUUUUUUUUUUUUCAAUCCUAGCUAGCUAGCACAUGACUCCCAAAAUUCAAGUAAUCUCUCAUACCCAUUUGAUGAUCUAUAUCUUUUUGGCACAUGGCCUCAACAUUU